GCCGGGUGCGGUGGCAUGUGCCUGUAAUCCAAGUCACUGGGAGGCUGAGGUUGGUGGAUCAAGUGAGCUGAGGAGCUCUGGGCUGCAGCACGCUAUGUCGAACGGGUGUCCACGCUAAGUUCGGUAUCGAUAUGGUGUUCCUGGGGGAGCCCGGGACCACCAGGUUGUCUAAGGAGGGGUGAACCGGCCCAGGUCGGAAACGAAGCAGGUCAAAUCCCCCGUGCUGUCCAGUAGUGGGAUAAUACCUGUGAGUAGAUGCUGCAGCCUUGGCAAAACAUCGAGACCUAAUCUUUU
rnacentral:SRP_RNA from 1 species